UAGUCCACGCCGUAAACGAUGUCUACUAGCCGUUGGGAUCCUUGAGGUCUUAGUGGCGCAGCUAACGCAAUAAGUAGACCGCCUGGGGAGUACGGUCGCAAGAUUAAAACUCAAAUGAAUUGACGGGGGCCCGCACAAGCGGUGGAGCAUGUGGUUUAAUUCGAUGCAACGCGAAGAACCUUACCAGGUCUUGACAUCCUGCGAACUUUCUAGAAAUAGAUUGGUGCCUUCGGGAACGCAGUGACAGGUGCUGCAUGGCUGUCGUCAGCUCGUGUCGUGAGACGUUGGGUUAAGUCCCGUAACGAGCGCAACCCUUGUCCUUAGUUGCCAGCGAGUAAUGUCGGGAACUCUAAGGAGACUGCCGGUGACAAACCGGAGGAAGGUGGGGACGACGUCAAGUCAUCAUGGCCCUUACGACCUGGGCUACACGCGUGCUACAAUGGCCGGUACAAACGGUUGCCAACCCGCGAGGGGGAGCGUAAUCCGAUAAAACCGGUCGUAAGUCCGGAUUGGAGUCUGCAACUCGACUCC
rnacentral:rRNA from 1 species